rnacentral:rRNA from 1 species
GGCGUAGGAUGCAAGCGUUGUCCGGAUUUAUUGGGCGUAAAGAGUUCGUAGGCGGUUCGUUAAGUCUGAUGUUAAAGAUCGGGGCUCAACCCCGGGAGUGCAUUGGAUACUGGCGGACUGGAGUGCGGUAGAGGUUAGUGGAAUUCCUGGUGUAGCGGUGAAAUGCGUAGAUAUCGGAAAGAACACCAAGGGCGAAGGCACUCUGCUGGGCCGAAACUGACACUGAGAGACGAGAGCUAGGGGAGCAAAUGGG